GAGUGGUGCGCAUUCGAUGCUAACAGUUUCAAUUUAGCCGCCGUAUCUAACAGUUAACGUUUUUUAGACUUUCAAAUCAGAACACGGCAGAGAUUGAAUAACUUAUUGUUGAAAGUAUCUUGUAUUUUUCCAGUUUUUGACAGACAGUUUAAUGUGUUUUAAUUGUACAUAUUACAAAUUUUUAUGUGUAUUUUAUGAACGUUAUAAAAUAAAAAAACUAAAAUGUAUAAAAACUUAAUACGCGCUUUUACAUUCGCAUCUACGUGCACAUUGUGUGUGUACACGACAGACGUAUAUUGUUGUAACACGCGGUAGGUGUUACGAGGGAGACUCUCCGAGAUUGGUCUGUCAAACACUAAACUAUCAAAACUGAAUUCCGCCGCUUCGUCGAUUGCAGCGUGUUAAGUGAAGUGUCGAUUAGCUGACGUCGGUUCUUGGCCUGCUAAUCGAGUUGCUUCCGCGUAUUGCCAAAUGCGGUCGAUGCCCCUCGAUCGCAUUUAGCAAUUUCUUUAUUUCAGCAAUUCGCCGCAAUAGCGGAAGAUUCGCACGGUUAUCCGAUAUUUCGGUAUAAGGUUGCAUUUUCGGAGCCUUCCGAGUUACCCACGUAAAGUGCGGUCGUUACCCUGUCAGGCGAUAGUUAAGGAUAAAUUGAAUGUAAUGUAAUAGUUGUAACUUCCGGUUACAACAGUAUGUACAUAUAUUUUAAAUUGAUGUUGAUUGACGUUGAUUUUACAAAAAUGUAUAUUAUACAUGU